AUUGAACGCUGGCGGCAGGCUUAACACAUGCAAGUCGAGCGGAGAUGAGGUGCUUGCACCUUAUCUUAGCGGCGGACGGGUGAGUAAUGCUUAGGAAUCUGCCAUUUAGUGGGGGACAACAUUCCGAAAGGAAUGCUAAUACCGCAUACGUCCUACGGGAGAAAGCAGGGGAUCUUCGGACCUUGCGCUAAAUGAUGGGCCUAAGUCGGAUUAGCUAGUUGGUGGGGUAAAGGCCUACCAAGGCGACGAUCUGUAGCGGGUCUGAGAGGAUGAUCCGCCACACUGGGACUGAGACACGGCCCAGACUCCUACGGGAGGCAGCAGUGGGGAAUAUUGGACAAUGGGCGGAAGCCUGAUCCAGCCAUGCCGUGUGUGUGAAGAAGGCCUUUUGGUUGUAAAGCACUUUAAGCGAGGAGGAGGCUACUAGUACUAAUACUACUGGAUAGUGGACGUUACUCGCAGAAUAAGCACCGGCUAACUCUGUGCCAGCAGCCGCCGUAAUAC
rnacentral:rRNA from 1 species